GGAUGUGAGGGCGAUCUGGCUGCGACAUCUGUCACCCCAUUGAUCGCCAGGGUUGAUUCGGCUGAUCUGGCUGGCUAGGCGGGUGUCCCCUUCCUCCCUCACCGCUCCAUGUGCGUCCCUCCCGAAGCUGCGCGCUCGGUCGAAGAGGACGACCAUCCCCGAUAGAGGAGGACCGUUCUUCGGUCAAGGGUAUACGAGUAGCUGCGCUCCCCUGCUAGAACCUCCAAACAAGCUCUCAAAAAUAAAAUAAAAUGUGUUUAAGAAAUGCUUUUGGAUUUUCC
rnacentral:snRNA from 1 species